AAAACUUCACAGUACAAACACUACUAAAACUCCUAGCCUCAAAGCUGCUACUCAUCUCUCUAAAAACCCUAUCUGGUCCAAACCUUCAAUCUCUCAGAUUCAUCUUGGUAGAAUGAGUCUCACCCUCCAAACUUUUUCGCUCAGCCCUAGAUCUCUUUAUUCAUGCUCCUACAUCUCAGAAAUUGUGAAUUUAUGAAAAUUCGGUGGAGGAUCAAGGAUUUGCAAGGCAAAUUUGGUUAUGAUCCAAACUCAACGAGAUUCUUUCUUAUGGCUUUGCAGUUUUUCUUGGAUUAAGGCAGUACUGUGCAAUGAUAUGGAGGCUACUGAUCUCAUCACCUGGCAAAAGCUCUGGCAGCCUCUGUCAGAAUGUUGGCCGAUUGCUUUAUCAACCAAUGUUAGUGUCUCCAACGACGACUUCGUUUGAUUCCAAUUAGGUUUUGAAGAUACAAGUCUGAAGACUUCAUACAAGUUAACAAGUUGAUCAUCCUUUUGAUAGGACUGUUAGGCAAAAUGUAACCGUAUUUCGCAAGGAUUUUAGUUUUGGCUAAGGCAAAUUUUUUAUAUUUUUUAUGGUUGUUAGUUCUUUCUCUGAUACGAUUGUGUAAACAAUAUAGUGACUUAUCUUAGGGUUGUAAAAUGGUAUCUUAGUGACUUAUCUUAGGCAAAUUAAUUCAUUUUUUUCUAAUUAAUGAUAUAUAUGAAAGUUGGAUGUUAUUGAACA